GUCGGGGUGGCGGAAUUGGCAGACGCGCUAGCUUGAGGGGCUAGUUCCCUUUAAAAGGAGUGCAGGUUCAAGUCCUGUCCCCGACACCA
rnacentral:tRNA from 1 species